rnacentral:rRNA from 1 species
GAUGAACGCUGGCGGCGUGCUUAACACAUGCAAGUCGAACGAAGCAUUUAGGACAGAUUACUUCGGUUUGAAGUUCUUUAUGACUGAGUGGCGGACGGGUGAGUAACGCGUGGGUAACCUGCCUUGUACUGGGGGAUAGCAGCUGGAAACGGCUGGUAAUACCGCAUAAGCGCACAAUGUUGCAUGACAUGGUGUGAAAAACUCCGGUGGUAUAAGAUGGACCCGCGUCUGAUUAGCUAGUUGGUGAGAUAACAGCCCACCAAGGCGACGAUCAGUAGCCGACCUGAGAGGGUGGCCGGCCACAUUGGGACUGAGACACGGCCCAGACUCCUACGGGAGGCAGCAGUGGGGAAUAUUGCACAAUGGAGGAAACUCUGAUGCAGCGACGCCGCGUGAGUGAAGAAGUAAUUCGUUAUGUAAAGCUCUAUCAGCAGGGAAGAUAGUGACGGUACCUGACGAAGAAGCUCCGGCUAAAUACGUG